GGAGCCGUAGCGAAAGCGAGUUUUAACUGAGCGUUCAGUUACUUGACGUAGACCCGAAACCGGGCGACCUACCCAUGAGCAGGAUGAAGCGAAAGUAAAAUUUCGUGGAGGUCCGAACCCACGAGCGUUGAAAAGCUCGGGGAUGACUUGUGGGUAGCGGUGAAAUUCCAAUCGAGCCCGGAGAUAGCUGGUUCUCCCCGAAAUAGCUUUAGGGCUAGCCUCAAGGUGAGAGAUACGGAGGUAGAGCACUGAAUGUCCUAGGGGGUAUUGCACCUACCGAAGACUAUCAAACUCCGAAUGCCGUCAUCUUAUACUUGGGAGUCAGACUGUGGGUGAUAAGAUUCAUAGUCGAAAGGGCAACAGCCCAGAUCGUCAGCUAAGGUCCCUAAAUGUAAGUUAAGUGGUAAAGGAUGAGGGAUUGCACAGACAACCAGGAUGUUGGCUUAGAAGCAGCCACUCAUUCAAAGAGUGCGUAAUAGCUCACUGGUCGAGUGAUCCUGCGCCGAAGAUUUCCGGGGCUAAAACUUACUACCGAAGCUAC
rnacentral:rRNA from 1 species